UUAUGCAAACUUUGUUGAAGUUCAAAUGUUUAUUGUUGGCUAUGUUGUGUUUGUUGUCUUUGCACUAGUUCUUAGAUUAUGAACCACGUUUAUCAUUUAUGCUAAAGGAAAGGAAUCCAAAAUUUGAAACAUCACGUUGAAGGAAAUUAAAGGAAAGGAAUCCAAAGUUUGAAACAUAAUCUUGAAGGAAACUAAAGGAAAGGAAUCCAAAGUGCUUUGAUGUUGCCAUAUACCAACCCCACUACACUAAUAAACAUGAUGUCUGCCAAACAUAAACAUAAGUAGCUGGAAAGCAAAUAAGUAGUCCUACUCCACAGCCUUCACGUGCCAUUAUUCUCUUCAAUAAAAAACCAAGCACAGAUUAUAAUAUGUAAUGCUUAAGUUAGUAUAAAUAGGGAGAGAGAUUUGUUAUUCUUGCAUCCUAUCAUUUGAUUUUACAAACUCUUUGCUUGCUUGUUCAUUUUCUGCCACCUAGAGUCAUCUUUUUCUUUGUAAACAGAUAAGAUAAUCAAUCUGCCUGUUUAUCUAUGCUUACAUAACCCGCGUAUUGGUUAAAAUUCACUUUUGGCUGCUCAGACAAGAUAAUCAGACUACCUAAUCAGCCACAAGUGGAUUUUACCGGUAUUCUAGUUAUGUAAGUAUAGAUGAAAGGCAAAGGAAGACAAUUUUUUUAUUAUUUCGCAGAGGUGGAAGAUCAAAUGGAGGGUUAAUUAAUGAUAAGUGCAUUGUUAUCACAUUAUUUACUGUAUAUUAUUAAAUAAAUUUCUGGUCUUUUGCUAAUAUCUAUAUGUGGUUUGAAGGCACCGCAUGAGUUUUCCUACCCACAAGAAGGGUUGCAGGUUGAACAAUAGAGUAUGCGGCAUACUCACAUUUGUAGCGGUCAAGGGAGCUGGUCACUCUGUUUCCUACCCAGCAAAUAAACAAAGAAAGCAUCAUAGAAAUCUUAAUUUAACCAUUGUAAAUGCGUGGUUAUUAUUUUCUUGUUUAAAUACAAUCUCGUCAAAAUUGUGUUCAUUUCUUAGUGGUUGGCUUUUGCGCAACAAUUCAAAGUAAAAAAAGAAAAAAUUAGUUUAACAAUUAUAAAAGUAGUAUUAAUUAUUAAUGAUUCAUCAAGCCACAUGUAACAAUUAAAAAGUCAUGUCAGUUGAAAACAUUUGGAUAGUAUGAAAAGGAGUAGCAUAUUGAAUUGGGUGGUAUAUGGCUCAGUCGGUGGUUAUUGACACGUAUUGAAUUUCGUGGCUAUUGCUUACAACAUGUCGUCAUCAAGUAAUGGAAUGUUAUGGAGUAUUUUACUAAAAUAGUA